GCCGAUGUAGCUCAGUUGGCAGAGCAGUCCCUUCGUAAGGGAAAGAUCGGUGGUUCAAGUCCACUCAUCGGCUCCG
rnacentral:tRNA from 2 species